rnacentral:tRNA from 1 species
AAAUAAGAAGUAAAUUUACACUUCAAUUUCGACUUGAAACUAUGGGAUUAUUUAAUCCCCUUAUUUA